GCUGGAUGAAGUUGUCACCAGUGCUGUGGUGGUAUUCUCCAGCUCCCACAGUGACAGAAAUGUUGGAAAACAUUUUGAAAAUCUCCAAGGACUACUGACAAAUUCAGCGCAGUCAAACUUGGACGAUUCAACCAUUGUGGAAGACUGUGUGAAUGAUAUCGGACCUACGCCCUUCAAACAGCAUUUUGAGGACUUAAUAACCCAAACAGUUAUUGAGAAAUCUGGUGAUGACAACAUGUACUUCUGCCCGACUUUCAUCCCUUCCUUGCUUAAGUACUUUCUGCCCCUGGCUGGUCUGUGGUCUGGCCUACUCUUGGGUGACCUUGGACGCCAUGGAACAGGGACC